rnacentral:tRNA from 1 species
GUCCCUGUUGAGCAAUGAAUAGCGCGUUGGACUUUUAAUCCAAAAGUCGUGGGUUCGAAUCCCUCCUGGGAUG